rnacentral:rRNA from 1 species
UACGGGGGGGGGCAAGCGUUGUUCGGAAUUACUGGGCGUAAAGGGCUCGUAGGCGGCCAACUAAGUCGGACGUGAAAUCCCUCGGCUUAACCGGGGAACUGCGUCCGAUACUGGAUGGCUUGAGUUCGGGAGAGGGAUGCGGAAUUCCAGGUGUAGCGGUGAAAUGCGUAGAUAUCUGGAGGAACACCGGUGGCGAAGGCGGAUCUCUGGGCCAUUACUGACGCUGAGGUGCGAAAGCGUGGGGAGCAAACAGG